rnacentral:rRNA from 1 species
UACGUAGGUGGCAAGCGUUGUCCGGAAUUAUUGGGCGUAAAGCGCGCGCAGGCGGUUCUUUAAGUCUGAUGUGAAAGCCCACGGCUCAACCGUGGAGGGUCAUUGGAAACUGGGGAACUUGAGUACAGAAGAGGAAAGCGGAAUUCCACGUGUAGCGGUGAAAUGCGUAGAUAUGUGGAGGAACACCAGUGGCGAAGGCGACUCUCUGGUCUGUAACUGACGCUGAGGCGCGAAAGCGUGGGGAGCAAACAGG